UACAGAGGUCUCAAGCGUUGUUCGGAUUCAUUGGGCGUAAAGGGUGUGUAGGUGGCGCCGUAAGUCGGGUGUGAAAUUUCGGAGCUUAACUCCGAAACUGCAUUCGAUACUGCGGUGCUUGAGGACUGGAGAGGAGACUGGAAUUUACGGUGUAGCGGUGAAAUGCGUAGAUAUCAAGUGGAACACCAGUGGCGAAGGCGAGUCUCUGGACAUUUCCUGACGCUGAGGCACGAAAGCCAGGGGAGCAAACGGG
rnacentral:rRNA from 1 species